UACGGAGGGUGCAAGCGUUACUCGGAAUCACUGGGCGUAAAGCGCGUGUAGGCGGUGAGGCAAGUCAGGUGUGAAAGCCCUCGGCUUAACCGAGGAAGUGCACUUGAUACUGCCUUUCUUGAGUACCGGAGAGGGAAGUGGAAUUCCCAGUGUAGAGGUGAAAUUCGUAGAUAUUGGGAGGAACACCGGUGGCGAAGGCGACUUCCUGGACGGAUACUGACGCUGAAGCGCGAAAGCGUGGGGAGCAAACAGGAUUAGAUACCCCUGUAGUCC
rnacentral:rRNA from 1 species